UAUUCAAGCAAGGCCCCAGUUUUGCAGGGGAAAUAGAAAAGAGCUGCAGCACAUGUGAUGCUGGUCUGAGACUGCUCUGGGGCUGCCAGCACAGGGGGCUCAAAUCUUGGGAUCAACACUUUUCUCCCCUCACCUGCUUCGUGGCAGAAAAUGAAGCAAGUUCCACCUUUUCACUAAAGCUUUUGUUUUUUGGCAGCACAACCUGGCAAUACAGAAGUCUUUCUGCAGUUUGGAAGUCAGUGUCCUAGCACAAGAAACUGUUUUACUUUGAGUGGUCAUCACAAAAGUGGAUUUUUUACUGGUUUCUUUCAUGUUGGUUUGUUGAAGACCUGAAUUAAUCUUAUAAGAAAUGUUUUUAAAAGUUUUCAGAGUUUCCCUUGAGACAAAAGGGCAGAGCCAGCCCCCAGGAGCAUCUGCCAGGCUCUGGAGCUGGAGGGAUGCUACCUCCUGGCAUGGGGAUUAAGAAGUGCUUUUGUGGGAAAAUGUCUGUGUUCAGUAGGAGAAAUGCUUCAGCCUUUUAAAGGCCCCAUGCAAACCAAGCAGAGCAUCCAGCUGCCCAAGCAGAAGGCAGGAGCUGAGCGGGCGAUAGCAAGAUCCCACCCAACCACCCAGGAAUCAAAAUGCCAUCUCAUGAGUCACUUAGAAACAGCAAGCAAAAUUCAAGAAUGCAGAGAGGAAUGUGCUGGGGGCUGAAUACGGCACUUUAAGCUCCUCUUGCUGCAGAGGUUAACCAGGAAGCCUUGACAGACAGAUCCCAACCCCACACAUCCCACCAGCAGCUUUGGUUUGGACAAACUCUAGCGUCUUCUGAUAUCACCAAAGACCAUUGGAAACCUCUCGGCCAACUUUCCUUCUCAGCACAUCUACUUCCCCUUACUGGCUUUAUGGGAGGGCAGAGAGGAUUUUUUUGCCCUAAAUGACAGUUCUGCAAUACCCCUGCCAGUCUGGUGGUUGCUGCAGGCUUCAGCUUUCCCUCGAGACCCUGAGGUGGGUUGACUGCACCUUAUAAAGCGAAGGCAGAGAGGAUCAUUUGCUGAGAUCCGUAGCAGGAUGUGAUCCCAGUCAAGCCUCAGCAGGGGAGUCACAAUAUCAGUUGGAAGAGCUUGCCCAUCGCUGCUUUGAGCCCCGAACCUUUCGGGUGCUGCACCCCUGAAGCUGGGGAGGAGCUGCGGAGGCGCAGACAGACAACGCAGGCUCUGUCGGCCCUAUGCUCUUGCUCUUUCUACCUCUGCCGGGGGAACAGAGGAGACAGCCGGAGUGCCGUGGCAGGCAUUUGGGACUCAAGCUGGCUCUGGAUGAAUAGAGAUACGGGGGGCUUUGCAUUUAAUAUUUUAAAGCGAGAGGGAGCGGCGCAGCAUGCAGCGCUCGGCUCAACAGGAACAACAUGUUAUUUACAGGUUGCUGGGCUCUCGCCUCGGGGCCCGUAUUUCUCUUUCACUCUCGAGGGACGCACUCCUGGCUCCGGUGGCAAUGAGGCACAGGCCACGGGGAGGAGGCUGGCAGCUGGGAGCACAAGUGCAGGACAUAAAUUAGGGCUCCGUCUGCUUCCCGAGCUCUCUCGGGGAUGUAGCU